rnacentral:rRNA from 1 species
GAGUUUGAUCCUGGCUCAGGACGAACGCUGGCGGCGUGCUUAACACAUGCAAGUCGGACGGAGCGAAUGAAAGCUUGCUUUUAUGAGCUUAGUGGCAAACGGGUGAGUAACACGUAGACAACCUGCCGACAGGAUGGGGACAACAUUCCGAAAGGAAUGCUAAUACCAAAUGAAGCGGAGGAGAGGCAUCUCUCUUCCGUGAAAGAUGGCCUCUGAACAUGCUAUCACCUGUCGAUGGGUCUGCGUCUGAUUAGCUGGUUGGUGAGGUAACGGCUCACCAAGGCGACGAUCAGUAGCCGGUCUGAGAGGAUGAACGGCCACAUUGGGACUGAGACACGGCCCAGACUCCUACGGGAGGCAGCAGUGGGGAAUCUUCCGCAAUGGGCGCAAGCCUGACGGAGCAACGCCGCGUGAGUGAAGAAGGUCUUCGGAUCGUAAAGCUCUGUUGACGGGGACGAACGUGCGAGAGGUGAAUAAUCUCUUGCAAUGACGGUACCUGUCGAGGAAGCCACGGCUAACUACGUGCCAGCAGCCGCGGUAAUACGUAGGUGGCGAGCGUUGCCCGGAAUCAUUGGGCGUAAAGGGAGCGCAGGCGGGCAUGUAAGUCUUUCUUAAAAGUGCGGGGCUCAACCCCGUGAUGGGAAAGAAACUAUAUGUCUUGAGUACAGGAGAGGAAAGCGGAAUUCCCAGUGUAGCGGUGAAAUGCGUAGAUAUUGGGAGGAACACCAGUGGCGAAGGCGGCUUUCUGGACUGCAACUGACGCUGAGGCUCGAAAGCCAGGGGAGCGAACGGGAUUAGAUACCCCGG